rnacentral:rRNA from 1 species
AUUGAACGCUGGCGGCAGGCCUAACACAUCCAAGUCGAACGAGUGGCGGACGGGUGAGUAAUGUCUGGGAAACUGCCUGAUGGAGGGGGAUAACUACUGGAAACGGUCGCUAAUACCGCAUACCAUCAGAUGUGCCCAGAUGUGAUUAGCUUGUUGGUGGGGUAACGGCUCACCAAGGCGAAGAUCCCUAGCUGGUCUGAGAGGAUGACCAGCCACACUGUAACGGAGACACUGUCCAGACUCCUACGGGAGGCAGCAGUGGGGAAGAUUGCACAAUGGGCGCAAGCCUGAUGCAGCCAUGCCGCGUGUAUGAAGAAGGCCUUCGGGUUGUAAAGUACUUUCAGCGGUGAUGCGUUACCCGCAGGAGAAGCACCGGCUAACUCCGUGCGAGCCGCCGCGGUAAUUC